rnacentral:rRNA from 1 species
ACGAACGCUGGCGGCGUGCCUAAUACAUGCAAGUAGAACGCACAGUUUAUACCGUAGCUUGCUACACCAUAGACUGUGAGUUGCGAACGGGUGAGUAACGCGUAGGUAACCUGCCUGGUAGCGGGGGAUAACUAUUGGAAACGAUAGCUAAUACCGCAUAAUAUUAAUUAUUGCAUGAUAAUUAAUUGAAAGGUGCAAUUGCACCACUACCAGAUGGACCUGCGUUGUAUUAGCUAGUAGGGGAGGUAACGGCUCACCUAGGCGACGAUACAUAGCCGACCUGAGAGGGUGAUCGGCCACACUGGGACUGAGACACGGCCCAGACUCCUACGGGAGGCAGCAGUAGGGAAUCUUCGGCAAUGGACGAAAGUCUGACCGAGCAACGCCGCGUGAGUGAAGAAGGUUUUCGGAUCGUAAAGCUCUGUUGUAAGAGAAGAACGGGUGUGAGAGUGGAAAGUUCACACUGUGACGGUAUCUUACCAGAAAGGGACGGCUAACUACGUG